rnacentral:rRNA from 1 species
AGUGGCCUCAAGCGUUUGGCCUGUAUCACUGGGCUUAAAGCGCGUGUAGGCGGAUCGUUAAGUGUCUUGUGAAAUCCCACGGCUCAACCGUGGAACUGCUGGGCAUACUGGCGAUCUUGGGCCACUCAGGGGCAACCGGAACAAGCGGUGGAGCGGUGAAAUGCGUAGAUAUCGCUUGGAACGCCAAAGGUGAAGACAGGUUGCUGGGGGUGUGCCGACGCUGAGACGCGAAAGCCAGGGGAGCAAACGGGAUUAGAUACCCCGGUAGUCCUGGCCCUAAACGAUGUCCACUGGGUCGCGGCCCCUUGACGGGGGUCGCGGCCGGAGCAAAAGUGUUAAGUGGACCGCCUGGGAAGUACGGUCGCAAGGCUA